ensembl:lncRNA
GUCCACAUCUCUAUAUGAACCAUUACUGCCUGGCGUCUGGAAAGUUCAAAUGUCUGCCACCUGUCAUAGCAUCCAUCAGUCAUCACUUUCUCUGUCAGAGCUUCAUUGGUUCUAAAUGAGUAUAGCCAAGAUGGGAGUCAUAGUUCCUACCUUCACAUACACAUGUACACAUCUGAACUAGGCCAGAGGCCCCAUAUAAUCUGUAGAGAGAAAUGGGUACAAGGCCACAAAUCAUCCAACCACCUGGUCUUGGCAAUUCUGAUCAUCUUCUUCCACUAUGAAGGGAGCCCCAAAGGACCCAAAGAACAAAGGAAAGUGCUCAGCAUUGAAGGGGCGCAGAUCUGGCGGCAGGAAGAUGCCUAUUGCUGAGCGAUGGAUGGCUGGGACCUCAGCCAUGGCCAUGGCCGCUUUUUGCUGUUUGUUGGCAUGGUGUGCCAGAUCUUCCAUGGGUCCCAACAUGCCUCAUGGCCAGAUAAGAGCAGCCUACUUUGUGAGAUAGUGGGUUCAUCUGGCCUAAUACCUGUCCUCCAACAGCUGCUGAUGGAAGAAAUUGAGCAAUGUCCUUCUUCCGGACUGUGGAAGAGAGGCCUUCUUGUCUAAAAGUGGUGAUUUUGCAUGUAGUCACCCCAGUAUGUUCUUCUCCCAUGUAUUCAUCUUUUUUUCCCCCAACAUUUGCAAUCUUUCAGCAACCAUAAGGCUGAACUUUGUGAUCUGCUCUUGUAGGCAAAGAAAUCUCUUCCCCCCCUCCCCCCCACAAUUUUAUUGCGUGUUUCCAUUUACCCUUAAACAGAAGAAUAGGUUUGCUUUCUGUGGUAAAUAACUAGAUCUACUUACAUGGGCAGCUGUGGGAGGAUUUGUGCCCAUGAGCCUAUGCAUGGAGGCCAUCAGCGUGGGAAAUGAGGAAGUGAAAGUGACCAAACACUGGUUAUGUUGCUGGGCUCCAAGCUGUUGAAAACCUCUGUAUUUUGUCCAUACAUCAAAUAUGUGCACUUUGUUUGUAGACCAGGAACUGAUCCCCUAAAAACAUAGUAAGUCAAAUAUAGUGUCUGUUUUGUUUUCUAUCUUAAAUUAAACCUUUAUUUCCUUGCCAGAGCGAUGUUGUUUCUUUGUUCCAU